UACGAAGGACCCGAGCGUUAUCCGGAUUCAUUGGGUUUAAAGGGUGCGUAGGCGGAUUGAUAAGUCAGUGGUGAAAGCCCAUCGCUUAACGAUGGAACUGCCAUUGAUACUGUCGAUCUUGAGUACAUCUGAAGUGGGCGGAAUGUGUCAUGUAGCGGUGAAAUGCUUAGAUAUGACACAGAACACCGAUUGCGAAGGCAGCUCACUAAACUGUAACUGACGCUGAGGCACGAAAGCGUGGGGAUCAAACAGG
rnacentral:rRNA from 1 species